AGAUACGGCAGGGGGAACACGUGGACGCCGUUGUAUCAGCGAGCGUCGCGGGACACGUCAGGAGCGGUGCCUCGCGACUGUCGCGCCCACGAAACGAGAUUUGUCUUUUUUAUUUUUUUUUUUACAUCACUUGACAGUUCGCGUCAACACCGGUUGUCGACUGCCGAAAAAGAUUACCGAUACUUUUAAAUAACACUUUUUUUGCCGUAAAUUCAAAAUUUGAUAAGAUUCGAGUUUUGGAGAUGUCAGUCUAAAAUAAUGAUUUUUUACUUAACAAGUGGAUGAAAAUUGUAAUAUAAAUAUAAAAAUUUUAUGCAAACAUUUUUUUCGACGAAAGAAAGACGAAUGUUUUCAAUGCAACAAUUUAACAAUUUUGCGACAUAAAAACAAUGAUUUAAAAUAAGCGAAAAUAUAGAGAACAAUGUAUUAAAUGAAUAGUAUCAACUUCAAUAUUAAAUGAAACAGUACCAACUCCAUUUUUAGUCACGAAGAAAGGUAUCCGGAUCCAGCUUGCUCGAAUAAGAACAGUUGCAUCAAUAGUGAACUGUGUUUUUAUAAGUUGCAUCAUUUUUGCAGGGACGUGAAAAAUCGCCGCGAACCCCGGUGCAAAUGACUUAACAUGUCUGUGUUUGCCUUAAACAUAUUGUUAUCUGUUUAUUUAUUUCAACAGUAAAACAUAAAUCGUUAUUUUAAGAAAUACAAAAUAAAAAGAUAUAAAAGUUGCAGCUA